UACAGAGGUCCCAAGCGUUGUUCGGAAUUAUUGGGCGUAAAGGGUGCGUAGGCGGUAGGAUAAGUUAGAUGUGAAAUGUCGGCGCUUAACGUCGAACCUGCAUUUAAGACUGUCCUGCUUGAGCGCUAGAGAGGAGUCUGGAAUUUACGGUGUAGCAGUGAAAUGCGUAGAGAUCGUAAGGAAGACCAGUGGCGAAGGCGGGUCUCUGGACAGUUCCUGACACUGAGGCACGAAGGCCAGGGGAGCAAACGGG
rnacentral:rRNA from 1 species